rnacentral:lncRNA from 1 species
ACCUGCAUUGCUUAUUCAUGUCUCCUGCGUUUAUUUGGUUAACAAAAUCUAGGUUUUGCGGAUGUGAAGAGUCACAGUUCGCAGAAUUUCAGACACUGCAAGCACUUUGCCCUCUGCAUUUUAUUGAGGAGCAAGAUUGGAGAAGAAGAUGCUUUGUAAAGAGCAAGAUGAUGUGGAUGAAGACUGAAGUUGGAGGAAGAACUGAAGAUGUGUGGUUCAACAUCUUCCCUGACAAGAUUCGAAUUAUCAGGCCAAACCAAUCUGGUUAGCCAAACACAUGAUUGAAUUAUCAGGCCAAACCAAUCUUGUUGCAAACAUAUAGUGCUAAGUUCAGUUAUGCCUUUGGUUUGAUUACAGAUAAAAAGGAACUAGGAUACUGAAGUUUUAUUCACACCUGAUAACCCAAUUGAAUAGAGUUAUGAUACUGAAACAUUCCAACCAAUUUAAGUGCUUUCAUAUCCAAUAACUGGCAUCGCAAAACCUGCAAUAGGAAUAAUAAUAAGCACAAGCUAGCUACUAUUCUAAAACCACAAUUGAAUAUCAUAACCAUGAAUGCUGUCUUGAUACUACCCCAUGAACCAUUUGAUAAUCUUAUUUGUCAAGCAGGUAAGAGAAUACUCGAGGACAAUGGCUUGUACAGAAGUUUCAUUCACAAAUAUAUGCAUCUCAGAACAACACAUUAAGACCUAACACAGUUAAUCAUCAUUCUUACACAGGCCCUAUUUUCUGACUACAGACAUAACAACCUUCAAUAAGUUUCACUAGAUGCUCAUCAAAUCAUUAUACCCAACAAGAUUAUGGUCAGAAUUUGAUGCUCCAUAUGUCACAGAACAUAUCUCAUUCUUUAAAUGCCUGAACCCAAAUGAGUAUAGGUGAAGGGAACGGAAACAUCAAGUGCACUACACCGUAGAUAGUAACAGCAAAUAAAUGGGUUCCUCAAAUUAGCAUCACACCAGUAUGAUGAAGAACUGACCCAAUCUAUAAGAAUGAUGGCAAAACAAUCAACGACAACCCAAAUUAGUAUGAUGAAGAAGAUGAAGAUUUUUGAGAGCUCGACUCCGAACUUAAUUUACCAAUCAACUUCUUGGCAGACAUCUUCGUCUGAAGGAAACUGCUGAUCACUGAAUCGAAGACCACCAUCGUCAAGUUCAGGGUCGACAUUCAUCCUGUCAUUCGAUUGAUAUUAAACAACAACCACGAA